rnacentral:rRNA from 1 species
CCCUUAGAUGUUCUGGGCCGCACGCGCGCUACACUGAUGCAUUCAACGAGUCUAAAACCUGCUCUGAUAGGGGUGGGUAAUCUUUUGAAUGUGCAUCGUGAUUGGGAUAGAUGAUUGCAAUUUUUCAUCUUCAACGGGGAAUGCCUAGUAAACGCAAGUCAUCAGCUUGCAUUGAUUACGUCCCCGCCCUUUGUACACACCGCCCGUCGCUCCUACCGAUUGAAUGAUCCGAUGAAUAUCAUGGAUUGAGGAUGCAAGUAGGUUCGCCUAUCUUCAUCUUCGAGAAGUGAAGUAAAUCUUAUCAUUUAGAGGAAGGAGAAGUCGUAACA